rnacentral:rRNA from 1 species
CUCCGGGAAACCGGGGCUAAUACCGGAUAACAUUUUGAACCGCAUGGUUCGAAAUUGAAAGGCGGCUUCGGCUGUCACUUAUGGAUGGACCCGCGUCGCAUUAGCUAGUUGGUGAGGUAACGGCUCACCAAGGCAACGAUGCGUAGCCGACCUGAGAGGGUGAUCGGCCACACUGGGACUGAGACACGGCCCAGACUCCUACGGGAGGCAG